AUUGGACGCUGGCGGCAGGCCUAACACAUGCAAGUCGAGCGGAUGAAGGGAGCUUGCUCCUGGAUUCAGCGGCGGACGGGUGAGUAAUGCCUAGGAAUCUGCCUGGUAGUGGGGGAUAACGUCCGGAAACGGGCGCUAAUACCGCAUACGUCCUGAGGGAGAAAGUGGGGGAUCUUCGGACCUCACGCUAUCAGAUGAGCCUAGGUCGGAUUAGCUAGUUGGUGGGGUAAAGGCCUACCUAGGCGACGAUCCGUAACUGGUCUGAGAGGAUGAUCAGUCACACUGGAACUGAGACACGGUCCAGACUCCUACGGGAGGCAGCAGUGGGGAAUAUUGGACAAUGGGCGAAAGCCUGAUCCAGCCAUGCCGCGUGUGUGAAGAAGGUCUUCGGAUUGUAAAGCACUUUAAGUUGGGAGGAAGGGCAGUAAGUUAAUACCUUGCUGUUUUGACGUUACCAACAGAAUAAGCACCGGCUAACUUCGUG
rnacentral:rRNA from 1 species